rnacentral:rRNA from 1 species
AUUGAACGCUGGCGGAAUGCUUUACACAUGCAAGUCGAACGGUAGAGGGGGCAACCCCUCGAGAGUGGCGAACGGGUGAGUAAUAUAUCGGAACGUGCCCAGUCGUGGGGGAUAACGUAGUGAAAGUUACGCUAAUACCGCAUACGAUCUAAGGAUGAAAGCGGGGGAUCGCAAGACCUCGCGCGAUUGGAGCGGCCGAUAUCAGAUUAGGUAGUUGGUGGGGUAAAGGCUCACCAAGCCAACGAUCUGUAGCUGGUCUGAGAGGACGACCGGCCACACUGGAACUGAGCUGCGGUCCAGACUCCUACGGGAGGCAGCAGUGGGGAAUUUUGGACAAUGGACGCAAGUCUGAUCCAGCCAUUCCGCGUGCAGGAUGAAGGCCCUCGGGUUGUAAACUGCUUUUGUACGGAACGAAAAGGUCUCUCUUAAUACGGGGGACUCAUGACGGUACCGUAAGAAUAAGCACCGGCUAACUACGUGCCAGCCGCCGCCGUAA